GCUAUACAUGCAGUCGAGCGGACUUGAGAGAGCUUGCUUCUCUGGAUGGUUAGCGGCGGACGGGUGAGUAACACGUAGGCAACCUGCCCUCAAGUUUGGGACAACUACCGGAAACGGUAGCUAAUACCGAAUAGUUGUUUUCUUCUCCUGAAGAGAACUGGAAAGACGGAGCAAUCUGUCACUUGGGGAUGGGCCUGCGGCGCAUUAGCUAGUUGGUGGGGUAACGGCUCACCAAGGCGACGAUGCGUAGCCGACCUGAGAGGGUGAUCGGCCACACUGGGACUGAGACACGGCCCAGACUCCUACGGGAGGCAGCAGUAGGGAAUCUUCCGCAAUGGGCGAAAGCCUGACGGAGCAAUGCCGCGUGAGUGAUGAAGGUUUUCGGAUCGUAAAGCUCUGUUGCCAGGGAAGAACGCUUGGGAGAGUAACUGCUCUCAAGGUGACGGUACCUGAGAAGAAAGCCCCGGCUAACUACGUGCCAGCAGCCGCGGUAUACGUAGGGGCAGCGUUGUCCGGAAUUAUUGGCGUAAAGCGCGCGCAGGCGGUCAUUUAAGUCUGGUGUUAUCCGGGCUCACCGAUCGCACUGGAAC
rnacentral:rRNA from 1 species